rnacentral:lncRNA from 1 species
UUUUCCUGGAAAAGGAAGGAGUACGAUCAUCAUCUUAUGGAACGGGAUUAGCUUUAGCUAAAAUUUAGAAAAUUGAUCAAGCGGGCUAAGCAAUUCUAUCAUAUCUUCAGGCUGAACUCUUCUGGUAGGUUUCAUGCCUCAGUCUCUUUUUCUGCCUUUUACUAAGCAUUGAUUCUCAUUUCGGUCAAUCAAUUGGCCUGCCUAGGCGCGGAGGAAAAGCUAAAUAUGCUUUAUAGAUAGCACAGGUUCAGGAGAAAGGGUUUCCCCAAUAUCAGACACAACAAAAGGGUUAGCAACGGUGGUAGCCAACCAAAGAGCAUAUGAAAAAUAGCGGUGACGAGGUUAGACCAUCAUGUUCUCUUGAAAUCGUUUGAUUAUAUUGCUGUAAUUUAUUUAUAUUUCAUUUGUUUUGUUUGUCAAGAUUUUCUUGCGAAAUCAGGGCUGAGAAUUUG